AUUGAACGCUGGCGGCGGGCCUAACACAUGCAAGUCGAGCGGAUGAGAAGAGCUUGCUCUUCGAUUCAGCGGCGGACGGGUGAGUAAUGCCUAGGAAUCUGCCUGGUAGUGGGGGACAACGUUUCGAAAGGAACGCUAAUACCGCAUACGUCCUACGGGAGAAAGCAGGGGACCUUCGGGCCUUGCGCUAUCAGAUGAGCCUAGGUCGGGUUAGCUAGUUGGUGAGGUAAUGGCUCACCAAGGCGACGAUCCGUAACUGGUCUGAGAGGAUGAUCAGUCACACUGGAACUGAGACACGGUCCAGACUCCUACGGGAGGCAGCAGUGGGGAAUAUUGGGCAAUGGGCGAAAGCCUGAUCCAGCCAUGCCGCGUGUGUGAAGAAGGUCUUCGGAUUGUAAAGCACUUUAAGUUGGGAGGAAGGGCAGUAAGUUAAUACCUUGCUGUUUUGACGUUACCGACAGAAUUAGCACCGGCUAACUCUGUGCCAGCCGCCGCAGUAACAC
rnacentral:rRNA from 1 species